AUUAUUUCUAAAAAUUAAUUUGUUUACAAUGAUAUAAAUUGGAGAUUUUUUUCUUACCUAAUUAACAUUACCUGAGUGAUACUUUUAGAACAGUAUAAAUAAUUAUAUGUAACAUGUUUGUAUUAAUACAGAUCCAGGUACAUAAUUUUGUGUUGUCCGUUUUGCAGAAUAACAAAAGCCCUUGAUUUGAAAGAACAUCUUCAGAAAACUGUAAAGAAACUCCCUGCAGGGAUCAAGCGAAAGCUGUGUUUUGCUCUCAGUAUGCUGGGGAAUCCUCAGGUGACACUGCUGGAUGAGCCGUCUACAGGUAUGGACCCCAGAGCCAAACAGCACAUGUGGUGAGUAUGACACUUGGGACAUUUGCCGCUUGGUGCGUUGCAUCAUGGGGUAGAGUCACUGUGACCAAUAGCUUCCUGUCAGUGAUGAGUACAUCUUGAUUGUAUAAAAUAGCAAUUAAACUUUUAAAGCUUUUGUCAUAUCUUUGUUGAAAUGUUAAUGAUAUUUUGUAUACUGCAGAACAGAAGUCAACACACAGCUGAUUACUGAAAUAAAUAAUUCUACUUUCUGAAUUAAUUUUGGAAGAUUUUUCUCAUAGUCAUUUAACAGUAAACUGUGUUUCAUAU
rnacentral:lncRNA from 1 species